UGGCAGAUGGGGGCUUUAGAAAAUUAAGUAUAAUUCAUGCCAAUCUUUGGGGUGUGUCUGUGCCAGAGUGAAAACAUAACACUGAAAAUACUUUCUCACUCCCUUACCAGGCCAGAGAGGGACCAGCCACAACCCCUCAGAUGUUUCUUGCAGGUUUUCUUCCUACAGUUAUGCUUUCAGUUGAGAAAGCACCAACAGAAGAGCCAUCAGGACAGAAUCCGGGGAAGUGCACCAGCCAGGCCCAGGCAGAGUGAGGAUUCCUUAGCUCAGGUGGCCUGCCAGGGAUGCAUCAACACCCAGCUCUUGCCUGCACAGAUGAAGCCAGGAAGAUGUCUGAGAGACUCACUGGUUCUCUGGUCUGCAUUAGCCGGGAGAGGGCAGCCUUCACUCGGAUAGCAAACAACUUCAAAAUCUCAGUCCUGCAAAACAGAAAUUUACUGCUCAGUAUGAUAUCUGUCCAAAAUGAAUUGGCAGAGGUUCUGCAGCACCAAGUCUCCAGAACCCAGACUGAUGGAGAUUUUUCUGCAUUGUAGCCCGGCCAUCUGGUCACCCUCUUCAGAGCAGGGAAACAAAGAAAUGGAGGGACCUGCCCUGGUUCUUAAAUGCAUCAGCCCAGAAGUGAGGACCAGCACGACCACUCACAACCCUUUGCCCACAGUUGGUCACAUGGCUCCACGUAACGACAGGGGGACUAGGAAAUGUGGGAGAGCAUAGAGCUAUUUGUUAAGAAGUAACUGUCCCAGAGUUCCCGUCGUGGCGCAGUGGUUAACGAAUCCGACUAGGAACCAUGAGGUUGCGGGUUCAGUCCCUGC